GAUGAACGCUAGCGGCAGGCUUAAUACAUGCAAGUCGAGGGGUAGCAAGAUUGUAGCAAUACAAUUGUUGACGACCGGCAAACGGGUGCGGAACACGUACACAACCUUCCUACAAGUGGGGAAUAGCCCAGAGAAAUUUGGAUUAAUACCCCGUAACAUAGCGAUGUGGCAUCACAUUGCUAUUAUAGCUUCGGCGCUUGUUGAUGGGUGUGCGGCUGAUUAGAUAGUUGGCGGGGUAACGGCCCACCAAGUCUACGAUCAGUAGCUGAUGUGAGGGCAUGAUCAGCCACACGGGAACUGAGACACGGGCCCGACUCCUACGGGAGGCAGCAGUAAGGAAUAUUGGACAAUGGACGCAAGUCUGAUCCAGCCAUGCCGCGUGAAGGAUUAAGGUCCUCUGGAUUGUAAACUUCUUUUAUAAGGGACGAAAAAAGGUCUUUCUAGAUCGUCUGACGGUACCUUAUGAAUAAGCACCGGCUAACUCCGUGCCAGCCGCCGCGGUAAUAC
rnacentral:rRNA from 1 species